CCUACGGGAGGCAGCAGUGGGGAAUAUUGCACAAUGGGCGCAAGCCUGAUGCAGCCAUGCCGCGUGUGUGAAGAAGGCCUUCGGGUUGUAAAGCACUUUCGGCGGGGAGGAAGGCGUUAAGGUUAAUAACCUUGGCGAUUGACGUUACCCGCAGAAGAAGCACCGGCUAACUCCGUGUCAGCAGCCGCGGUAAUACGGAGGGUGCAAGCGUUAAUCGGAAUUACUGGGCGUAAAGCGCACGCAGGCGGUCUGUCAAGUCGGAUGUGAAAUCCCCGGGCUCAACCUGGGAACUGCAUUCGAAACUGGCAGGCUAGAGUCUUGUAGAGGGGGGUAGAAUUCCAGGUGUAGCGGUGAAAUGCGUAGAGAUCUGGAGGAAUACCGGUGGCGAAGGCGGCCCCCUGGACAAAGACUGACGCUCAGGUGCGAAAGCGUGGGGAGCAAACAGGAUUAGAUACCCGAGUAGUC
rnacentral:rRNA from 1 species